GAUUGUUGAGACUUUUAUUUUGGUAAGGCUACUUUUAUUUUGAAGGCCAUUUUGUCAUGUGUGUAGACUGCGACUUUUUUCUAGUCAUUUCCAGAGAGUCAAUUCAGUGAGAGCACAUGGCUUUGUUCUCUUCCUUUUCGGACACUGUAAGCGCCACAGACGCAAUGUCUUUUCACUCUAUCUGUGUAUGAAGAUGAGCCACAGUAAAGCCACAGGAAACUA